ensembl:lncRNA
AUGCUUGCCUGGCUAGAUGAAGCAUUUGAUAUACAACCGUAUCCUCGCAAACAACGUGGACAUGGGAGUGAAUUGAAGGAAACUAUAAAAAACAGGAAGCUGGCAGUGCAAAAACCGGAGGAAACUGCAACAACAAAUCUUCGAAGAAAAGUACGUUGCUUAUCAACUCUCCCUGAAAACGCAUUGAGAUCAGGAGAGAGUGAAAGACUGAACUUGAAGCCAAAGACCAAAUAUAUUGGUGACAUGGAACAGGAAGAAAUAGGACCAGAGAACUACUACACUCGUCCUUUAGAAGAGUCUGAUAUAGAGUCAGAUGAAGUCGCAGAUUCAAAGAACUAUAGCAAUCAAGAUCACUUACAGAAACCCAAACGUUGCUCUCUAAGAACAGAUGUCUGUAGAGAAUCAAAAGCAAGUUGUCUGUACGUUCAUGAGCCGUCCCUCACCACGACCACUAACAACUCUUUGAGUCAAACUGUUGCAAACGGCAAGUCACUGAUGUGUCAACCUGAUGAACGAGGGCUUGGUGGAGGUGGAGAGCAAACACAUAUUCCAACAAGUGCACCAGCUAAAUGUGACAUGAAAAAAGAGGGAAUGGGAACGGAGAUCAACAUGUGGAAGAUGCGGGCAAACCGAGUGAAACAAAUCCUCUCUGCUGAAGAGUUUGGUCCAUUCAAUAAGUCCAAGAGUUUUGGCCUUGAAUUCAACGUUGGAUAUGGACCAAAGAAAAACUUCAGUGUUGACUUAGUGCGUGAUUCAUUUUUGGUUGAACUUGCUAAAUUUGCCCUCGCAAUGAAUUCAUCUCAACAGGAUUUCAUCAUGGAGAUACUUGAGAACAAUUUUGACCUCAACCUGAAGUCUGAAUUCCAGAGAAAUUUUUUCACCUAUGAAAUGAUGAAGAGAGUCAGACAUCUGAAGGAAUGUGAAGAUUCAGUCAAGUUCUCCAAAGAGGUCUUUAAGCUGCAUGGUCCCCUUCCACCAAUAAGGACGGCCAGUCAGAGUGUGAACAGUGUCAACGCUGAACUCAGCAGCAUAUCAAAGAUGGAGGAGAGUGAAGUCGCCUGUGGGUUUCCUCUUCAUUCACAGACUGAAGAAGAUAUUUCAGUGAACAGUGUGGAUCUUUAUCCCUUCUGCAAGGAGAUUGGUCUGAAACUACAUGUGGACAAUACUCAACCAAAUGAGAAACAGGAUAUCAACAGACUGACCUAUGGAGCAAUGACGGAAGUGACAAACUUUGCAGAAAUCUUGUGUGGAACAUUUGAGCAGAUUUGUGUUGACAUCCUAAAACACAACUUUGGUCUUGAUAUGCAAUGUGGAGAUUCUGACCAUGUCAAAAGUAUGCUUGCUAGAAUAUCUUUUGCAAAAGAUAAAAGGAAUCUAAAUAGGACUAGAAAGACAAAAACGGGCAUAAUACCUUCAUUGUUCGACAUUAACCUCAAUGCCAUGACCAACCCAAAUUCCCAUGCACUUAAUGCCAGUUCUUCCAACGCUGCUACCUUGAAUCAAGAUGUAGAAAUCCAGAAUAAUCAUAAUCUGUGGCAGUUGAGGGAAAAUCAAAUUCAGCGAAUCCUUUCAAGACCUCAUGUAGAACAUUGUCCAUUGUAUUCUUUCACCAGAUGCAAGAAAAUGGGCAUUGAUUUCAACGUAGGAUCUGGAGCCCAACAGAAUAUUGAUCUCAAACUACUAACCAAUGGCAUCAUGGUUGAACUUUCUACUUUUGCCAAAGAGAUGGUAUCAGCCCAAUACUAUUUCGUCACUGAGAUACUGGAGCAUAAUUUUCAUCUAGAUUUCAACAAUGAGCUGAAUCGCUGUGCCUUUGCACAAAAAACUCUUAAUCAAAUUAUGUACAUGAGAACAAUAAAAUACAACAAAGUUCCUGUAAUGAAAAAGACGUUUGACCUCUCUGACACUAAGUGCAUACCAAAACCUUCCGAUCUGAGAACCUUGUAUUGCCCCAAAUGCUAUCAAGUCAGAAAUAAUGAGCAUCGUCGUGAUGAAUCCGUCUCAGGUCCCAUUCUUCAUCAUCAUCCUCCUCAACACACCAUGACUGAUGCCGGCUCUGCUGAUGGAAACUCCAUCACACAAAAGCCAGCAAAGGAUCCGUCCUUCACCUUUUCAGCAAUAGAGGAGAUUAUAAUGGACAAGUACCCCCUCUGCAAGGAAAUAAGUUUGAAACUGCUGAUGGACAAAGACCAGCCAAGACGUAAGCUUGACCUGCAUGUAUUGACACGCGGGGUUAUGAGAGAAGUUGUUUCCUACGCAAAAUAUUUGUGUGGAAAUAAGAAUAAGAUCAUUAAUGACGUCCUUCAACACAACUUCAACGUUGGCGCGCUGGCUCAACAAAUAAAUCCUUUUUUGAAUCUCUCCAAACCGAAGAGACAAAAUGAUUUGAUGCUUGCCUGGCUAGAUGAAGCAUUUGAUAUUCAACCGUAUCCUCGCAAACAACCUGGACAUGGGAGUGAAUGGAAGGAAAUGAUCAAAAAAAGGACAUUGCCAGUCGAAACACAGGAGAAAACGGCAAGGACAACCCCUCGAAGAAAAGUAAGCCGCUUUUCCACUCUCACUGAAAACGGGUUAACAUCAGGAGAGAGUGAAAAACUGAACUUGAAGCCAACGACCAAAUAUAUUGGUGACAUGGAACAGGAAGAAAUAGGACCAGAGAACUGCUACACUCGUCCUUUAGAAGAGUCUGAUAUAGAGUCAGAUGAAGUCACAGACUCCGAAAACUCUAUGAAUCAAGAUCACUUACAGAAACCCAAAAGUUACUCUCUCAGCUCAGACGUCUGUAGAGAAUCAGAAGCAAGUUGUCUGGGUGUUCAUGCGUCUUCCCUCACCACCGACAUUUCAUCAAGUCUGCCAAUUCUAAAGGCAAGGGUCAAGUCACAGAUGUGUGAACCUGAUGAACAAGGGCUUGGUGGAGGUGAAGAGCAAACACCGACUCCAACUGAAUGUGUCGUAGAACGAGAUGAAAUGGAAAUAGAGGACAACAUGUGGAAGAUGCGGGCAAACCGAGUGAAACAAAUCCUCUCUGCUGAAGAGUUUGGUUCAUUCGUUGGGUCCAAAAAGCAUGGCUUUCAAUUCAAUGUUGGAUAUGAACCAAAGCAAAACUUCAGUGUUGACUCUUUGUUUGAUUAUAUUCUUCUUGAAAUUGCUGAAUUUGCCCUCGCAAUGAAUUCAUCCCAACAGGAUUUCAUCAUGGAGAUUCUUGAGUACAACUUUGACCUCAACCUGAAGUCUGAACCCCAGAGAAAUCUUUUCACCUGUGAAAUGAUGAAAAGAGUCAGACAUCUGAAGGAAUGUGAAGAUUCAGUCAAGUUCUCCAAAGAGGUCUUUAAGCUGCAUGGUCCCCUUCCACCAAUAAGGACGGCCAGUCAGAGUGUGAACAGUGUCAACGCUGAACUCAGCAGCAUAUCAAAGAUGGAGGAGAGUGAAGUCGCCUAUGGGUUUCCUCUUCAUUCACAGGCUGAAACUGAAGAAAAUAUUUCACUAAACAGUAUGGAUCUUUAUCCCUUCUGCAAGGAGAUUGGUUUGAAACUACAUGUGGACAAUACUCAACCAAAUGAGAAACAGGAUAUCAACAGACUGACCUAUGGAGCAAUGACGGAAGUGACAAACUUUGCAGAAAGCUUGUGUGGAACGUUUGAGCAGAUUUGUGUUGACAUCCUAAAACACAACUUGGAUCUUGAUUUGCAAUGUGGAGGUUCUGACUAUGUCAAGAGUAUGCUUGCACGAAUUCCUUUUGCCAACCAUAAAAGGAAACUUAGGGCUACCAAGAAAUCAUAUAUGAGAGGUAGGAAUCAUCGGUUCAAUCAGAUUGCCCGUAACCCAAACCUCCACUCAUGUGCUGCCGGUUCUUCCAACGCUAUAAUCAUUAAUCAAGACAUGGGAAACCACAAAAAUCUCAAAUUAAAGCUGUGGCAAUUGAGGAAGAAUCAAAUUCAGCGAAUCCUCUCAAGACCUCAUCUAGAACAUUGUCCACUUUAUUCUUACUCUGGAUGCAAGAACCUGGGCAUUGAUUUCAAUGUAGGAUCUGGAGUCAAACAGAAUCUUGAUCCCAAAUUACUGACCAAUGGCAUCAUGGUUGAACUUUUAACUUUUGCCACAGAGAUGGUAUCAGCUCAAAGGUAUUUCAUCACCGAGAUACUGGAGCAUAAUUUUCAUUUGGAUUUCAACAACGAGCUGAAUCGCAUUGCCUUUGCAAAAAAAACUAUUGAUCAAAUUAUGUACAUGAGAACAAAGAAAAGCAACAAAGUUCCUGUGAUGAAAAAGACGUUUGACCUCCCUGACACAAAUUGCAUACCAGAACCUUACCAUCUGAGAACCUCAAGUUGCCCCUACUGCUAUGAAGAAUUAUUACGAAAUUAUGAACAUCGUCGCGAUGAAUCCGUCUCAGGUGCCAUUCAUCAUCCUCCUCAAAGCACCAUGAUUGAUGCAGGCUCUGCCGAUGAAAACUCCACCACACAAAAGUCAGACAAGGAGCCGUCCUCCACCCUCUCAGCAAUAGAGGAGAAGAUGAUGGACAUUCACCCUUUCUGCAAGGAAAUUCGUUUAAACCUGUUGUUUGACAAAGACCAGCCAAUAGAUAAGCUUGACCCGCAUCUAUUGACAUACAAAGUUAUGAGAGAACUUGUUUGCUACUCAAAUGAAUUGUCUGGAGGGAAAUAUGGGCUCAUUAAUGAUAUCCUUCAACACAACUUCAAUAUUGACGAACUGUAUCUUUUUGGUUUUGACGCCAGACUGAAGAGCCAAAAGGAUGUUGGGCUCACGUGGCUAAAUGAAGUGUUUGAUAUUCGUCCAUCCCAACAACCUGCUUAUGGGAGUGAUUUGACGGGAACUAUGAAAAAAAGUAAGAUGGCAGUGAAAACACUGGGCAAACCGCCAAGGACAACUCCUCGAAGAAAAGGACAAAGUUAA